GCUUCUGAUAAACUUCACAGCAACCACAAGGUUAAUGCUGGUGUGGGGGGGGUCUGUUGUAUCUCACAUUCCUUCGCCUGAUGUCAGAUCUAAACUGUCCUAUCCAAGGCCAGCUUAGUUUCAUGCCAGAUGUAAAUGAAAAAUUGAACAUAGUGCUUUUUGAUUGGUCCCUCCUACAAGGUCUGGGACUUGAAUAGUCACCUUGGAUUCCUGUUCUUCACUGUGCUCUGCGUCUUCUAUGAUUGAUGAGUCACACCCACUUGCUCAACUGGUUUGCCCCACCCCAAUUUCUGUUACCUCACAACUGUGGAUAUAGCUUUAGCCAGAAGGGGUCCCUCACCCAGUCCCUGGGCUGCAUACAUGGGAGGAGCUUUAUGGAUAUAGGCAAUGUGGAGAGAGCUUCAGCCUCCAAGCCCUUCCUCCUCCUCCACUCUCUACCUCAAGAACUCAUAGUGGUCCAGAUUGCAAGUUCACCCUCCAUGGAGAACCAGAAGCAUCCAUGGCUGGCAAGUUUACCUGUCUGCAUGUGUGAAGAGGUUCUCAACCAAGCUCCUCCGACAUCAGUGCACCCAAAAGGUGAUCAGCCGUGUGCCUGAUCUGAGGGUACGAAGCACCCUACCCAGAGCUCCUGAUAUAACUAGAAGAAAGCCAUACCUGGGUUUCAAUCAGGAAUCUCCCUAUCAACCACCAGCGCCUCCCCUCAGGGAAACGGCUGUGGGAGAACUGGAGAUCCGGAUUGCAAGAGUGCUUCUGGGAGGCUCAGAAGUAGACAGGUUGCCUCACACCACUCACCCGGCACAGGAUGCAUUUCUAAAGGUUAAUCAACAUGGUUCAAGCAUUAAUUGAAUACCUAUUUCAGAACAACUACUUCACAUCAGGUUUUUUGCUGGAUGCUUUGUAUGCAUAAGUGAAUAAAGCAGACGUGUUCCCUGCCUGGUCUUGUAGAUUUCCUGCUUCUGUGCCAAAUUCAUGCAG
rnacentral:lncRNA from 1 species